AUGCUGCAGACAAGUUCAGACUCCGGCUUUAGGAAAGGAAGGUUCUGCCUUGUUCAAGAUUUCUUUGUCCAAUCACCAAAAAACAUGUUUGGAGUUGUGUGUGCAAGGUUUAUGAUGAAUACCACACCUUGGACCGAGAUUCAGGUCCAGCCUGAGGUACUGACAUAUUUCCCACGAUAUGCAUAUUCACAAUUUUUGGUUGCCGAGUUGCAGUUCGAGUGAAAUUUAAAUUUUUUUUCCUAUGAAUUGCUCAGCUACAGUUGCAAAGAUGAAUUUUCUUAGUGCUAAAGAAAAAGGAAUACAUUAUUUGGACCAUCUUUUUAGGUGCAAUUUUUUAUACUGAUGUGGUAUUAAUUUCAUAAGUUUGAAUCUCAUUCAAAUUUGAUACCCAAUAUGAUUUCUUGGUCAAACUAAGAAGCUCAUGUUACAAGGACGUCCACUGGGUGUUACUAGCAACAACAAUUUGACUGAAUCAGAAGAUGCCGAGUACUCCAACUCCAUUGGAACUGAAGAAAUGAAAUUGCACUCCCUAUCUGCCACAGCAGAGGUGCCUCUUACUCUGCCCAUGAUUGCUGCCACACCAAUACCCCUGGUUGAACAGUCCCGAGAAGUCGGUGAAGAUGUUGGAUCCAAUGGAAAGAAGAAUGGCAAAAUAAAUUCAGUUGCUACCACCUUUUGUGUGGCAUCAUUAAGUUCAUAUAUGUGCUUAGCUAACAAUUUACUCCGUCCGUCCCAAAAUAUAAGAUGUUAAUAACAUCUUAUAUCACGUAACUGAGAGAGUACAUUGUAACUACAGUGGAGACUGGAGAAACAGAUCGAAAAAAUCAAUCUAGCCAAAAGAAACUGCUCAUGAAUACCUAGCUUGCGCCUUCAUCUACCAUAAGACAUCGCCUCGUGAAGAUCUUGGAUUUGCGAGGAUUGGAAGAACCUAGCUUGCGCCUUCAUCUACCAAUAAUUACUUUACAGCUACAUUAGAAAGUUUAUUGUCAUGUA